rnacentral:rRNA from 1 species
AUUGAACGCUGGCGGCAGGCCUAACACAUGCAAGUCGAACGAGUGGCGGACGGGUGAGUAAUGUCUGGGAAACUGCCUGAUGGAGGGGGAUAACUACUGGAAACGGUAGCUAAUACCGCAUACCAUCAGAUGUGCCCAGAUGGGAUUAGCUUGUUGGUGGGGUAACGGCUCACCAAGGCGACGAUCCCUAGCUGGUCUGAGAGGAUGACCGUCCACACGGGAACUGAGACACGGUCCAGACUCCUACGGGAGGCAGCAGUGGGGAAUAUUUCACAAUGGGCGCAAGCCUGAUGCAGCCAUGCCGCGUGUAGGAAGAAGGCCUUCGGGUUGUAAAGUACUUUCAGCGAGGAGGCGUUACCCGCAGAAGAAGCACCGGCUAACUCCGUGCCAGCCGCCGCGGUAAUUC